GCCGGGCAUGGUGGUGUGUGCCUGUAAUCCCAGCUACUCAGGAGGCUGAGACAGGGGAAUUGCUUGAACCUGGGAGGCAGAGGUUGCAGUGAGCCAAGAUCAUGCCACUGCACUCCAGCCUGGGUGACAGAGCGAGACUCUGUCUCAA
rnacentral:SRP_RNA from 1 species